GCGCCAUCUAGCGAUCGCUUUUUAGCAAAUUAUACAUUAAGAGAGCCACCUAUAUUUCAACCAGCCACUGAUAAUAACCUUAAAUUCUUUAAACAUGGCAGUUAAUUAAUAUUAAAUCACUCGAUUCAUUUGAAUGUCUACUAAUUAUUUGCACAGCUCAUUUGGUAUUUAAUACCAAUUUCAUAGUUUAAAGAAAAUUAUCACCAGCUUGAUGACAAGGGAGGGGGAAACGGAAGCAGACAGAUAGGAAAAAGAAGAGAGCGAACAUUUCACGCUUUGAAUGCGUGGGGCCAACUAUAUUAUCACUAUCAGCAUGUGUACGAAAACCGCAGAAAUCAUUAAAAUAUACAUACAUAUAUACAUACAAGUAUCCAUGUGCGUAUGCUUGUAGGAUCGUUGGUUUGUCAGCGUCUUUCAGGCAGACAGACGAAAAUGAAUUGAAACGAGGCAAUUCGCCGUCUGAUUAGAUGUCUGCCGUUUAAUGGAGACCCACUCAAACUUGGAACAGGCCCGAUAUGAUCCCCAAUCUGGGGCACAGACGCAUUUUCCAGGGGGUCUCAUACAAUGCCACAUAUCCAAUUUCCCAUAGAGAUUUAUUUAUAUAUAUAUAUCCCUCAGGAGGCAAGUUACAUAAGAUCGGUUCCAAGAUACUAAGGUAGCACCUGAAACCACCAAUUCUCGCAAACGAUAUUGUAAACCCAUAUAUUCAUUUCAAUCCAGUGGUACCAGUGAGGAAAUUCUCGUAAAUAAUACGAGAAUUAAUUCUGUAAACUGAAGUUGUAUAUUUAAUGAAACAAAUAUUAUUUAUCCCAUAAAAUCAGUGCCAAGUAACUAGGGUUCUUAGUUAAGCAAAUAGCUUUAUUUCUAGUUUGGCGCCGUCAAAACAAGUUUGAACCACUUUUGCACCCCAGUGUACGAUGACACCCAUUUAUCUACAAGCAAUGACGUAUUCGCAUGAAUUGGUCUUUGGUCCCGUCUAAACUUAGUCGAAGGUUUCUUUAAUUUCUGGUUUACGUUCAUUAUUUAUUUCUUUUCUGUUUUUAAUGGAACACACACGCUCCAGCACCAGCAUCGAAUUUUCUCAGUCUCUGAGGCAGCGUCAUCGUACGACGACGACAUCACGUAAACCGUCCAAAGUCCAAACCGUCAGUCCCAACUUUUUGUGGUGCCCGGCAUUCUUGUUCCUUCUAGUCUUCUGUUAUGAGUUUUCGCCCCAUGACGAAUUGGACUUACCCCCGUGCUACCUCUCUUCCAUAGUCUUUGCAUAUAGUUAAAUCCGAUUGCCGUACAACUCAGUGAACUGAAAUAAUUCAUAAGACAAAAAAAUGUUUUAAAUUGCGACUUUCCUAUAUUUAUCUUCAUUACAUUUAAUAAUAAGAUAACAUAGCAAAUUUCAUUGUGAUAGAGGCUGUGCAGAGGUCAAGUUACUUGAGACUCACGGCCUGUAUUCGAAUAGGUUUAGCUUAAUUCUAAAGCUUACACAACUAGUUUAGCACCCAUCAAUUGAAAUCUACAUAUUUAUGUAGGCAUUUUGGCCCAUUUCAAUGAAUCUCAAAAAUUUAAUCGCCUCUGCAAUUGGACUCUCGAGCAAUUUGAACCCGUGUGUCACUAGAUUGCGAUAAGCAUGGCGAACUUCGUUUAAUAGGUGGCUUAAAGGCUUAUACAUCAUAACGAUAACCGGCGACAAUUAUAAAACAAAGGCAUUAAAUGAAUGAAGCAGCGUAUAAAAAAAAAGUAUUCAAAACGCCCUUAUCUGCAAAGUACAAUCCAUCUAGAAAGCAGUACGAAAAAAAAAAGGAAAUAAAAACUUAAUAUAAUCAGCAAGCGACUCAUUCGCCUUUCACAUGUGUGUACAUACAUGUGUAUAUAGAGGAACUCACUCACGCCGCUGAUCCAAAGUCCAAUAUAUGCCAUCAUUACCUGAAUGUUUCCUCCUUCUAUAUAUAGAUCAUGCCGAGGCUUCUAAAAUUUGGCACUAGGUGCCAAAAUACCGGAAUCCAAUGAAAUUCUAGGCUCAACCGUUUGGGAAAAUACCCGCAGACGGACACGCUUUGGGUCUCGAUAACGGUAUAUAUAUGUAUGUAUGUAUAUAUACAUAUAUUCAUAUGUAUAUACAUUUAUAUAUGUAUACAUACACUGUUGAGCAUAUAGUAUUCGGUCUGGGGCUUGUCUACGUGCGGCCAACUGCUAAUCGGCUCUAUAUGCAGGUCUUGAGCGGAUUAUUCCGAUUCCAUAUAACUUCUGUUGAUGUAUAUACAUACAUAUGUACAUCCAUAUAAAAAGCUGAGGAAAUCAAUGAUUUGAGCAUUUCCAACAGUUUUUUUUUUUUUUAAUUAUAAAUACUUUUUUGCUCAACCUACUAAAACGUAAUUUAAUCUUAACAUUUCAUUUCAAAAUUAUUCACCUUGAUCAACCUAUUUAUCUGUAAAAAGAAAAUAUGAAAUAGCUUCGUAAUAUACUCGUUACAAACCGUCCAAUAUUUAUUCAUUCCAGUAAUCUUCAUUAUCAGCUAGUGAAAUCAGUUAGGUAAACAUGGUUGAAGUGAUUUCCUUCGUUUACUGUAAUUUCCAGAUACCACGCCUACAAAGUCCACAUAAAAAACUAAAAUAAGUACAACAAACUGAACGAAUCGGUUACAUUGGUUUAUUUACGUCCGAUAUCGCCGAUCGGAACCCGGACCAAGUAGUGACGAUAAGUCCAACACCUGCUCUUGGUUACAACAUAAACAGUGUUGUGACGACAUCUCCGGACUUUGGAACUACGGACGACUAGCCAUUGGUAACCUUCCCAACUCGUGGGCCUGGUUAAUAUGCGCAUUAGCGGUUAAGCCUUAUCAGACAGACAUAAUUGCCUUAUAUAGCUCAUAAUUCACUGAGGGGCAUUAACCCAUUUUGGAUUUUUGGAAUCUAGGUGUUUCGAAAGAUGGAGAAUAUUUUGAUCCCUUGGGUUUUUUGGGAUCUAAUUGAAAUCCAAGCGAAUAAGGUUAUUUUCCAAAGUUUUCAUUAACUCUUCAUCUAACUCAAGGAAAUUAUUCCUUUAUGAACUUAUUGUAGAUUUUAGGGACUAAAAACGUGCUGAUGGAUGGUUUAAAAAAAAAGGAGGAUGGUGCUUCGUUUUAGGGGUUAACUUAGCACGUUUCGCGCUUGUAGUUUUCGUAAUUUGUUUUCGUUUUGUCACUAAUCGGACUUUGGAUUGCCAAGCGAAUUACACAGCAUUCGGCAAGUAUUACGUAGAAUACUGAAUGUAGAUGUUUGACUGUGCAAUGGCGUAUUAUCGAUGCGGUGGCAGGGGUUCAAAGGUCGCACGAAGCUUUUGCGUGGCGUUGCCCAUUGGCCAUUGAUAAUCGAAGUGCCCCCAUACACAGAAAUACAUAUGUACGUAUGCACAUAUAUGUACAUAAAUAUAUAUUGCAAUGUACUUCAAUCUAAACUUUGUUUGCGCCCGACACAACGUAUUAAUUAAUCUAGUUGUCAAGCAUGCCGAACAAACGUAGGCACUGUCUCUCUUCUUUUCCCAAAUUUCUUUCUUUCUCUUCAGCUCUCUUGUUUUCUGAACAGAAUAAUUGGACCCCCCUCCAAGGACAACACAGAAGAAUUGCACUAUGAACUCUGCAUAGAUCGGGAAAAAAUGAUCAAAAUUAGUUUGAUCAUGAUAGAAGAAUUGUUUAUAAUUUGAUAAUGGUACAUUCUUUCACCUGAUUUUCUAAUUAUGUUUUACCUCGAAAAUAAAGAUAAUGAAAAUUGUUUCAAAACUAUUUU
ensembl:ncRNA lncRNA:CR44662 long non-coding RNA:CR44662